rnacentral:misc_RNA from 1 species
AACCCUCUCAUUAAACAUUUUUUUAUUAAUUUGUUUAUUGGAUGUUGAGUGUUGCUAUAAUUAUAGCUCACUUUAAAUAUAUAAGUCACUUUUCAAAUAAGUUGGAUUGACUUGGUGUAAUAAUUUUAUCAUCACAUCAAGGAAAGUAGUCAAACACUUGCCAUCUUUUUUGUAACAAGAGACUCCUAAAACCCAAUAUCUAUUUUUU